AAUUUUCCAAUGGGGGAAAACCCGAGGGAGCAAUACCGCGUGAGGGAGGAAGGCCCUUGGGUUGUAAACCUCUUUUUUCAAGGAAGAAAAAAAUGACGGUACUCGAGGAAUAAGCAUCGGCUAAAUCCGUGCCAGCAGCCGCGGUAAUACGGAGGAUGCAAGCGUUAUCCGGAAUUAUUGGGCGUAAAGAGUCCGUCGGCGGCCCGGCAAGUCUGCUGUCAAAGAAUGGAGCUUAACCCAUAAGGGCAGUGGAAACUGCAGAGCUAGAGUCUGGGAGGGGCAGAGGGAAUUCCCAGUGUAGCGGUGAAAUGCGUAGAGAUUGGGAAGAACACCGGUGGCGAAAGCGCUCUACUGGACCAGAACUGAUCG
rnacentral:rRNA from 1 species